rnacentral:lncRNA from 1 species
GAAGUCAGCAAUAGACAAACUAGACAUCAACCCAAAGAGGAAGCUAAGCUCCAUUGAGAGUGAAUUCUCCAUCUUGGUGAAACAGAAGGGAACAUUUUCUUUCUCCUUGCACUUUCCCAGUCAUUUUCUUAGAUCCCUCUCCAUUCUUGAAAAUAGAGCUUUAAAUUUAAAGUUUCCUAUUCCUAGUCACACUGAUCUUUUACUGCUUCAAUGAAUUUUUGUUAAGCCUGACCCCUUUAGAUAUGUUUGUUCUCCAUUGUCUUGUGUAUUAUGUUUUAACUUGAAGUCAUGGGUUCAGUGAAUGUGCUUUGGUUGUGUAUCUCCCUGGAUGUACUACCUGAAAUUUGGCUAAAUGAAAAGUCUUAAAGAAGGAAAGAUCAUUUCUGACCAGGAAGUUCAAGUUUUCUCUUCCAUGCUGUCUAUGUCUUCAGGCUCAGGAGCAUGUGGCCAUUUUGAAAAUCCAAAGAACUUUAGAACAAUGAAGUGACUUCUCUCCGUAUCAAAAUACCUCCUGAGUCGUCUUGCUUUUACACUUCUCUGCUAUUAAGCCUAGGCUCCAGGAAGAGUUUGGUGCCAUUAACUCCAGGUGAAUAUGUCAUUGUGCUAUGUGGCUUCAUGUUCCCAGGAAAAAACUGCAUUUUAAUCCUGCCUAUUCUGUAGUUCUCAUGGGUAUCUCUUAUGGAAUGACUGAUCACAGAGAUAUUUCCUU